rnacentral:rRNA from 1 species
CCUACGGGUGGCAGCAGUGAGGAAUAUUGGUCAAUGGACGAGAGUCUGAACCAGCCAAGUAGCGUGAAGGAUGAAUGCCCUAUGGGUUGUAAACUUCUUUUAUAUGGGAAUAAAAUGUUCCACGUGUGGGAUUUUGUAUGUACCAUAUGAAUAAGGAUCGGCUCACUCCGUGCCAGCAGCCGCGGUAAUACGGAGGAUCCGAGCGUUAUCCGGAUUUAUUGGGUUUAAAGGGAGCGUAGGUGGAUUGUUAAGUCAGUUGUGAAAGUUUGCGGCUCAACCGUAAAAUUGCAGUUGAAACUGGCAGUCUUGAGUACAGUAGAGGUGGGCGGAAGUCGUGGUGUAGCGGUGAAAUGCUUAGAUAUCACGAAGAACUCCGAUUGCGAAGGCAGUUCACUGGACUGCAACUGACACUGAGGCUCGAAAGUGUGGGUAUCAAACAGGAUUAGAUACCCCUGUAGUC